rnacentral:rRNA from 1 species
GAUGAACGCUGGCGGCGUGCCUAAUACAUGCAAGUCGAGCGAACGGACGAGAAGCUUGCUUCUCUGAUGUUAGCGGCGGACGGGUGAGUAACACGUGGAUAACCUACCUAUAAGACUGGGAUAACUUCGGGAAACCGGAGCUAAUACCGGAUAAUAUUUUGAACCGCAUGGUUCAAAAGUGAAAGACGGUCUUGCUGUCACUUAUAGAUGGAUCCGCGCUGCAUUAGCUAGUUGGUAAGGUAACGGCUUACCAAGGCAACGAUGCAUAGCCGACCUGAGAGGGUGAUCGGCCACACUGGAACUGAGACACGGUCCAGACUCCUACGGGAGGCAGCAGUAGGGAAUCUUCCGCAAUGGGCGAAAGCCUGACGGAGCAACGCCGCGUGAGUGAUGAAGGUCUUCGGAUCGUAAAACUCUGUUAUUAGGGAAGAACAUAUGUGUAAGUAACUGUGCACAUCUUGACGGUACCUAAUCAGAAAGCCACGCCUAACUACGUG